UGGGGAAUAUUGGACAAUGGGGGCAACCCUGAUCCAGCCAUGCCGCGUGAGUGAUGAAGGCCUUAGGGUUGUAAAGCUCUUUCGCACGCGACGAUGAUGACGGUAGCCAAGAAGGAAGCCCCGGCUAACUACGUGCCAGCAGCCGCGGUAAUACGUAGGGGGCAAGCGUUGUCCGGAAUGAUUGGGCGUAAAGGGCGCGUAGGCGGCCUGGUAAGUUUGGAGUGAAAGCCCUAUUUUUAAGGUGGGAAUUGCUUUGAAAACUGCCGGGCUUGAGUGCAGGAGAGGUUAGUGGAAUUCCCGGUGUAGCGGUGAAAUGCGUAGAUAUUGGGAGGAAUACCGGUGGCGAAGGCGGCUUUCUGGACUGUAACUGACGCUGAGGCGCGAAAGCUGGGGGAGCGAACA
rnacentral:rRNA from 1 species